rnacentral:rRNA from 1 species
UACGAAGGGUGCAAGCGUUGUUCGGAAUUACUGGGCGUAAAGGGCGUGUAGGUGGAUGAGUCAGUCAGGAGUGAAAUCCCGGAGCUUAACUUCGGAAUUGCUUUUGAGACGGCUUAUCUAGAGUGUAUUAGGGGAUAAUGGAACACCCAGUGUAGAGGUGAAAUUCGUAGAUAUUGGGUAGAACACCGGAGGCGAAGGCGAUUAUCUGGGAUACAACUGACACUGAGGCGCGAAAGCGUGGGGAUCAAAC